AAUCAACGCUGGCGGCGUGCCUCAGACAUGCAAGUCGAACGAUUAAAGCUCUCUUCGGAGAGUGCAUAAAGUGGCGCACGGGUGAGUAACACGUAAGUAAUCUACCUUCGAGUGGGGAAUAACGUCCGGAAACGGACGCUAAUACCGCAUAAUGCAGCGGCAUCGUAAGAUGACAGUUGUUAAAGAUUUAUCGCUUGAAGAGGAGCUUGCGGCAGAUUAGCUAGUUGGUAAGGUAAUGGCUUACCAAGGCUACGAUCUGUAACCGGUCUUAGAGGACGGUCGGUCACACUGACACUGAAUAACGGGUCAGACUCCUACGGGAGGCAGCAGUCGGGAAUUUUGGGCAAUGGGCGAAAGCCUGACCCAGCAACGCCGCGUGAAGGAUGAAGUAUUUCGGUAUGUAAACUUCGAAAGAAUAGGAAGAAUAAAUGACGGUACUAUUUAUAAGGUCCGGCUAACUACGUG
rnacentral:rRNA from 1 species